rnacentral:rRNA from 1 species
AGCUCCAGAAGCGAAAGCUAGUGCUGUUGCGGUUAAAAAGCUCGUAGUUGGAUUUCUGCCUUUCUGGAUUGGCGGCUUCUGACCGACGGAAUGUCGGACAGUCGUCCGUUUCUCCUGGGCAUACGGACUCCCUUGCCUCCGGGCUCUGGGAGUCCCAGUUACUUUGAGGAAAUUAGAGUGUUCAAGACAAACAAGCGUUCGUGAAUACCACAGCAUGGAAUAACAACAUACGGCUCUUAGGCGCUGUUGUUGGUUCUAACCAAAGAGCAAUGAUUGAUAAGGACGGUUUGGGGGUGCUCGUAUUUGGAGGCCAGAGGUGAAAUUCAAUGAUUCUCUAAAGACGAACUACUGCGAAAGCAUUCACCAAGGACGUCCCUUUUAAUCAAGAACGAAAGUACGC